AGAGUUUGAUCCUGGCUCAGGAUGAACGCUGGCGGUGUGCCUGAGAUAUGCAAGUCGAGCGAAGUUUUUCUGAACCCGCAAGAGGUUGGAAAACUAGCGGCGGACGGCUUAGUAACACGUAGGAAUCUGCCCUUUUCUGGGGAAUACCUCACCGAAAGGUGGGAGCUUUAAUACCCCAUAAUAUCUUCGGAUUAAAGAAGCAAUUCGGAAAAGGAUGAGCCUGCGUCCUAUCAGGUAGUUGGUGGGGUAAUGGCCUACCAAGCCAAUGACGGGUAGCUGGCCUCAUGAGGAUGACCAGCAAGAGGGGGACUGAGACACGGCCCCCACUCCUACGGGGAGGCAGCAAUCAGGAAUAGUCGGCAAUGGGCGAAAGCCUGACCGCGCGUCUCCGCGUGAAGGAAGAAGGUCUAAAGUAUGUAAACUACUGUGGUAGGGGAAGAAGAUCCGCAAGGAUUUGACGGUACCCUACUAGAAAGGAGCCGCUAACUGCGUGCCAGAAGCG
rnacentral:rRNA from 1 species